CUUACACAUGCAGUCGAGGGGUAGAAGUCUUCGGACUUUGAGACCGGCGCACGGGUGCGUAACGCGUAUGCAAUCUACCUUUUACAGAGGGAUAGCCCAGAGAAAUUUGGAUUAAUACCUCAUAGUAUUACGACCUGGCAUCAGGAUGUAGUUAAAGUCACAACGGUAAAAGAUGAGCAUGCGUCCCAUUAGCUAGUUGGUAAGGUAACGGCUUACCAAGGCUACGAUGGGUAGGGGUCCUGAGAGGGAGAUCCCCCACACUGGUACUGAGACACGGACCAGACUCCUACGGGAGGCAGCAGUGAGGAAUAUUGGACAAUGGGCGCAAGCCUGAUCCAGCCAUGCCGCGUGCAGGAUGACGGUCCUAUGGACUGUAAACUACUUUUAUACAGGAAGAAACACCUCUACGUGUAGAGACUUGACGGUACUGUAAGAAUAAGGAUCGGCUAACUCCGUGCCAGCAGCCGCGGUAAUACGGAGGAUCCAAGCGUUAUCCGGAAUCAUUGGGUUUAAAGGGUCCGUAGGCGGUUUAGUAAGUCAGUGGUGAAAGCCCAUCGCUCAACGGUGGAACGGCCAUUGAUACUGCUAGACUUGAAUUAUUAGGAAGUAACUAGAAUAUGUAGUGUAGCGGUGAAAUGCUUAGAGAUUACAUGGAAUACCAAUUGCGAAAGCAGGUUACUACUAAUGGAUUGACGCUGAUGGACGAAAGCGUGGGUAGCGAACA
rnacentral:rRNA from 1 species